AACUGAAGAGUUUGAUCAUGGCUCAGAUUGAACGCUGGCGGCAGGCUUAACACAUGCAAGUCGAGCGGGGGAAGGUAGCUUGCUACUGGACCUAGCGGCGGACGGGUGAGUAAUGCUUAGGAAUCUGCCUAUUAGUGGGGGACAACAUCUCGAAAGGGAUGCUAAUACCGCAUACGUCCUACGGGAGAAAGCAGGGGAUCUUCGGACCUUGCGCUAAUAGAUGAGCCUAAGUCGGAUUAGCUAGUUGGUGGGGUAAAGGCCU
rnacentral:rRNA from 1 species